AUACAUUCGUGAAUCGCGGAGAAGACAAAACGGCGGAGUCGCGAGAGAGAGAGAAAGAGAGCCGUUUCGAGAUUUCGCGUUUCCGGUUCUGCGAAAUCGACCAAAUAAUCGAGCCAGAUCGCUGCGUCGCACGACCUACGGAAACGGAGCGGGACGAAUCGGCAAAAAGUGACGCAGCACCGUAUGCAUCGCGCGUGUCGGUAAUCUAUCCCUUUUUCUCUCUCUCUCUCUCUCUUUUUGUCCCCCCCUCUCUGCUUCUCUCCCUCUUCCAACUCAACGGUGUGUCAAAGUUCCGAUUACUCGCUGUCGAUGUAUGUUCAUCGUCGUCAUCGGUGCCCAUCGAUGUAAGUUACGGAGGAACACGGGGAACGAUCGCAGGAUUAAAUUGUGAAGGUGUAACGCGAUAACACCUCCCCGGGGACGUACGCCUCUUCACCGUCAGGUUGUGCGCGACGAUAUCGAAGUGCGAGCGAGAAGCGACGACGCGAGAAAGAGAAAGGAGAGAGAGAGAGAGAGAGAGAGUGAGAGCGCGAGAGGACGAAAGUGCGAAUACAAUUCACGGGAUCGGCUCGCGCGUGAGAGAGAAAGAGAGAGGAGUUGCCUUUGGAGUUUUGCGUGCGUGGUUUUGUGUAUCUUGUCCAUCCUAACUCUUCUCAUCGCCGGGAGCUGUCAUAAAUGUACACAUUCUACAUAGAUUACGCGAUCUAUGCUCGGUCGACGGGCCGAUCUAUCGGUGGCAAGUGCUGACUCGAGCCUGACUCGGCUCGCGCCAGUGAAUCGACGUUAAUCAUCGUCGCCGUCGUCGUCGUCGUCGACAUCAUCGUCGUCGUCGUCGUCGUCGUCGCCGUCAUCGUCUCCUGAAGCAGCUAGCUAGCCAGCGCGGCGCAUCAAUCUAACGGCGAAUCUCCUCAACGCAAACAGGUGAUCAUGGCGAAUCGAGGUACAGCUCAAAGACCAAAUGGAUCGACACAAGGGAAAAUCUGUCAGUUUAAGCUAGUUUUACUUGGUGAAUCUGCAGUUGGAAAAUCAAGCCUUGUUUUAAGGUUUGUCAAAGGACAGUUCCACGAGUACCAGGAGAGUACAAUUGGUGCUGCAUUUCUAACACAAACCGUAUGUUUGGACGACACAACCGUAAAAUUUGAAAUUUGGGAUACUGCGGGGCAAGAACGUUAUCAUAGUCUUGCACCAAUGUACUAUCGUGGUGCACAAGCAGCCAUUGUUGUGUACGAUAUAACAAAUCAGGAUACAUUCUCACGUGCCCAAACAUGGGUAAAAGAACUGCAGCGCCAGGCCAGUCCAAGUAUAGUGAUAGCAUUAGCUGGAAAUAAGGCAGAUUUGGCAAAUAAAAGAGUUGUCGAAUAUGAUGAAGCUCAAACAUAUGCAGAUGAAAAUGGCCUUCUUUUCAUGGAAACAUCUGCUAAAACGGCGAUGAAUGUCAACGACAUUUUCCUUGCAAUUGCUAAAAAGCUUCCUAAGAACGAACAAUCAGGAAGCGCAAGUACGAGUGGUCAAGGUCGUCGACUAGUCGAGUCGGAUGGGCAAAAGGCAGCAACCGGCAAUUGCUGCAAGUGAUUAUCUAAAUCCGUAUGUGUCUCACAAUAUAUAUAUUCGUAUCUAUAUAUAUUUUUACAUUAUUUGAAUAUAUAUACUGUCUUCAAAAUUAAUUGGGAAAAAACUACAAGAGAUAUUAUUCCAUUAAUGAAAAGUUGAAAAAUAUUUGAUAUGCCUAAUGAAUAUGUUACAAAUCAAAUGCAUAUUCGGUGUAUAUCAAUUUGUUUACAUAUUUUUAUAAUAAUAGAAUAUAUUAUGAAAAGAAAGCGCGAUCAAAAAAGGAAAAAAAAAAGGGAAACGGGGAAAUAUAUCAAUUUCAUAUUGUGUAGAAUAGACAUUUGCACCUUAAAAUGCUUUUAGCAGAUUUUUGUAUUAGGAUUAUAUAAUAUGGGAGAUAUCUCUGAGUAGUGACACACAUGCAGUUUCAUAGAAUAUAUUAUAUUUCCUGUUAUAUGUUUAAUAUUUUUUAUAGUGUAUAUUCUCUCGCGACUUUUGCCUUCUUUAUAUUUAUUGGAACAAUAAAUAAACACGGCGGAUUAGAAUAAUUAGAUAAGAAAGAAAAGCGCGGAUUGUGAAAAUAAGCUCCAUCAUAUGACCGUCAAAUUUAUAAUCUGCAAGAUAUGUACUAUAAUCUACAAAGAUAAAUGCACCACGAGUGUGCUACGAUGAAUUUGAAACGAGGAUACACAACAUGGGAAAAAUACAGAGAGGGAAGUGAACUGUGCAGGACAUUUGCAAUUUUGCUUGAGUGAUUGACUAAGAGCCUGUGUCUCAAUGUAAUCGACGAUAUAUCAUCUAUUUUGAGUAUCAGAUCUAUUAAGAGGCAGUAAAGAAAGCUCCCAUUUGUAAUUCUAGUAGUGGGCGGUGUUCGUUAUAAAUAUAUAAAUAUAUAUAUAAAUACAUUAUAUAUAUAUAUAUAUAUAUAUAUAUAUAUAUAUAUAUAUGUAUAAAUCAUACAGAAAAAUAUGAUUUAUAUAUGUAAUAAGUAAUGCUAAUAAUAAUAAAUAAUAUUAAUAAUAAUAAUUAAUAAAAAAUAUAUAAUAUACCAUUAAUACACCAUAAAUAUUGAUAAUAACAGUAUAUUUAAAAUAUGCAACGUCUAAUCAAUUUUUGGCACGCGAAGAUCUUGUAAGAUAGGAGAAGCUAUUUCUGCUGCUAUUACUAUGUAUUUUCUUUCUUAGUUUGUAACACAUAACAAUUUCUUGCUCUAAAAAAUAUAUUGUAUAUUAAUUUUAUUGACAACUCAUAAUGAAUUAUAAAUGAAUUACACGGGAAAAAAAAAUAAACUUGUGAAUAUUACAAUGGCUCUUUAUAA